AGGAUUUUAGUUUAAAAAAAACAUUUGAUUUGCAUUCAAAAAAUAUUAUUUUUAAUAUAUCUUA
rnacentral:tRNA from 1 species